rnacentral:misc_RNA from 1 species
GCAAUGUAUGACUGGAGAAUGAUCAGAUGCAGCCUUGAAGUGAGAAUUGUUUCAGGUGUGGUUCCAUGCAUCUGCAGUUCUAGUAAGUAUCCUUGAAUUUCAUUACGUCUCUGGUGUAAAAGGUGGGUUAUCUUUUGAAAACCUGAUAUUCUUCUAUCAAUGUAUUACGUUCAAAGUUUGCUUGUCUUCCAUGAAAUUGACCUACAUGGAAUAUAAUUCAAGUUCUUAACUGGAUUUGCUGAUAAACUUGGCCAUUGUGGAUCAAAUCUAUCUCAAAUUUCAAUUGUCCCUUUUCCUGAACACUAACUUCCCGCGCCAGAUCUUUGAUCAUGAAAAAAAAAUCUGUUUAGCUUGCAUUGAAUUUUUCUCCAACUGCAUGUUCAAGGAACAUUUGACAAGCCUCUCAUAUUUUUCUUCCUCCACCUUCUUAAGCACCAACUUAUUGCUCCUCUGCCAAGCCUCUCUGCCAAG